AUGGUACAAGUGCUCUCCUUCCCUUGUGACAAGUCAUCACAGAGUCCUCCAGCAAAGAUAACUGGCAGCGCUGUCCAUCAAUGCGACAUGCAGAAUCAAAGGAGGGAUAUAUACAAGGAAAACACAGCAGUCCGUGCUCAAACAUCAUCUAAAUAUUUCUCUGCACAGCUACACCAGCUGGCCACUGACUCUACCUGCAAAGAGACCCCUUGGCAUCCAGAGCUCUAUCCCCUUCUCCUGUCUUCUGCUCAGCCUCCUUCCCAUCCUCUUCCAGCACUGAGGUUUGAUGCCAGGCUCAUUCCAAAUGCACACACACAGGAGCCCACCAGCAGCCACUGCUCAGGCUCAGCUGUAGCCAGUGCUCCUUUCAUUCAUGCCUGUUCUCCCACAGUUUGUUUGAGGAUCUGGACUUUGCUCGCUGCCUGGAAGUUUCUAAAAUAUAUUUCUAGAAGACUCCUUCAGGUCUCUGUGGUGUCUACUGAAUCUGAGAUAGCACACUCUCUUGCAGAAUCAAGUUCUGCUGAACUGCCCGGAAUUGGAGUGUGCAAAACGAACUGUAAUGCUUGUAUGGCUAAAUCUUUAUAGUAGCUGAGAGAGCUGCUUCAAUUUUGGGAAGAGGUGCCUAAAUCAUCUGUUAACAUUGAGACAUUUAUUUAUUCUGUAUCCUCUGUACUUUACACUUCUCACUUGCUGCAGCUAGAAGAGAUUUCAGAGAGUAUUUAGUAGGUAAUUACCCUGGAACUGCAGAUUCAGUUAUAAAAUGUGAAACUGGCCAUAUUUUUACUCUUCCUCUUUAUGAAUUGCCACAAAACAUCCACUAUCCAAUCAACAGCCCUUAAACCUGAGGGAUGAUAUGUGGCCAGUUCCACUGAAGAUGUUAUCCAUUCAUGCGAGAAAUAAGCAGACACAAUUGCUGGAGAUAAUUAGUUUGUACUCCACAGACCCAUCACAAACCUUGGCACUGGUAGUCAAUUAGCAAGAGUGCCACAGACUGUUUUUCUGAGAGCAGGGAGCUUCUGCCUGCACCAGUCUGUACAACAAACGUUUCACUCUUUCAUUUAUGCGCUAUGUGCUUUUUCUCAUGAUAGCUGCUCUGCUCAGGUGUAGCCAAAGACCAGACUUUAAAGGAGCUCUCGUCAAAAGAUUCAGGCAUUCACACUUGCUAACAGAAAUGUGCAGAUGUGAAUUUGAAGUAAAUCCAGAAAAAAUCAGUGUGUCUAUUCUGGAUUUAAGUAUACCAUUCUUUGCUGAAAUGGCAGUCUUCCGCAUCCGUCAAACUAUUGAUAGGGCACCUGAAUGCUGUGGCUGAUGACCAGGUAGAAGCAUGAGAGGUAGCAGGUGGAUUUUUUAAUUUAACUGCUAUACCUCCUCUUAUGCCACUAUAUUUUUAUAUUCCUCAACAUGACAAUGAAAGUUGCUCAGUCAACAUUCCAAAUUUCUACACAGCUUUAGUUUGCUUUUUUCAUGUAUAAGAAGCUAUGUUACUGAUUCCCAAACUUCUGACAACAUUUUACUGAGGGCAAGCUUUGUUUAAAAUAGACAUUUCAGAACAUUACAGAGCUCUGUGUGUCCUAUUUGGGCUUUUAACACAUUAUAUUAAACAUACACAAAAUCCUCAUUUGGUUAGCAUAGAUAAAAAACACUUGGAAAUGUCAGUAGUGCCAGAUCUUGGUACUCAGUAGCAUUGUUAAAUUUUUUUCUCAUGAUAUAGCUUCCAAGUAAAAAAGAACAUAUUAAAAAAAAAAAAAAAAACAAACAAAAAAAAGUCAAUUCAUUUUGGAUCAUCUCAACAAAUUAUAGAGAAUUUUGCAUGGGAAAGCUCUGCUAUUUUUCUCCUUUGGAGUGGUAUGAGGAGGAGAAAGAGACAGAUUUGGGAUUUUAGUUCUUCAUGAAGACAAUAGGGGUUCCUUUAAACUCGAAAUCAGAGAUUUCUCAAUGCAGGCUAAUUGCACAUACAGCAGGAGCACUAAGUUCCAUCUUUUGAAAGGGCAGCAUGUGGCCCUUGUAAAGCAUAGCAGUUUGGUAUAGGGCAAACAACUGGGGAAAUAUUAGAAGGCAACAACAAAGGCAAAAUCUUGCAAGUCAUAGUGUUAUUUUAAAGAACCUAUUGCAUGCUGAUAUUCUUGAGCAUAAAAUGAUCUCUACAGUAUUGAAGAGAUUUUGUUUCAAACCUCCUCCUGCAGGGAAGCUGUUAUGAUGAUAUAACAGGUCCUGACUCCUGUAAUUCUCAAGAUAUAUCCAAGCUGUGAAAAGCUGAAACAUUCCACAAAUCAGUUUAAUGGAGGUCAUCAUACAAAUUAUUUUUGUGAACCAGAAACUGGCCAAGUUCAGUGUGCUGUGGCUUGUGACAGGUCUGCACAGCUGCAUUACAAAUUGCUGACCACAAAUAAUACUUUUCUACUUUGCACACAUUUGGGGGUUUGUGGGAUGGACUGUCCACGUAUCUUAGUGCUGCUUGUGCUUUACAGCCUGCACUUGCAACCUCUGUCAUGUAUGAGCUGGGCUGGUGCCUGUGAGCAGGAAUACCACCGAGGAGACAAAUUUAAAAGCAUAGUCCUCAAACAUCUCUCAAUGUCAGUGAGCUCAGGGCCAGGCAUUGUGCCAAAAAGGAGGAACGUGGAAAAGAUUUUGUUCAUGAAGCCAUUAUUCGAAAGACUGGAUGUACGUGGGCAUAAUAGAGAUCAAAACCUAGCUUUUAAACUAUGGCUACAAGCAGUUAAGGGAGAACCUCCUUCAGCCUGAGCAUUAGAUUACCACUUUGAGAUUAAAGAGUUUUCAGUUUAAACUCCAAAAGUAGAACUUGCCCUCAUUAAUACAGAGCUGCAGGAAAUAAUACUUCUAUGGAUGUGAAUGAGGCCUCAUUUCCAACACUGAAAGCUCUGACAUAAGCGUUCUAGGCAUUCAGAAAGUAGAUAUACGUGCUAGUAAACCUUCCACUUUUGGCAAGCAAAUCUGUGUUGCAAACGUUAGCUAAAUCUGCAGAGUUAUCACGUUACAUAUAGUUUGGAAGUAUAAUUUCAAUAUACAUUUGUCUUUUAAAAAUCCCAGAGAGCUUGUUUGGUUUGGAAAGGAGAACACAACCAUCCACUGGGAGACAAUACAAGCAGCUUGGAUUCCCUCUGAGCAGCUUGCUAUUCAAGUAUCAAAAGGCAUUGAGUACUGAGUACAGCAUAAGCAUUAAGAUUUCCUCAGAAGUUGGUGUUCUCUAAGAUGAAACCAUCAACUCUCACACAACUUAUAAGUGGAUAAAAGUAACAGCCAAAUAUGUCAUCAAAGCUUUGCAGUUUUAGAAUUCUUUGGCAGGAAUUUAGUCCUAUUAUUUGUAUUUUCCUAUCACUAUUAUUUACUGUGAUUCUGCUUUUCCCCUCUAUAACAUUUUAUGCCUCAUCCCCUCAGACUUAUUUUCUUGUGAUGGAAAUAACCAAGUAUGAAAGUUUAAGCAUAUCAUGAAGUCCUGAAGGAUGUACUUUCUCAUGUUUCAGGGAGAUACUAUAGGGGAGAAAGUCCUAAAUGAAAGUUACUAAAGGGCUCACAGAGUCUUUUCAGUAAAUACUCACAGAGAUACAAUCUAGCACUCUUUGUGAUGUCAGACAGGACUUGGCUCAUGAGUUGUACUUAGAAAAAAAGAGCUUCACCUGAACAGUUAUUUCUGUAUCUUUGGGUAUCCUUUGCAAAAAAAGUCUACUCAAACCAAUAGUGAUGAACUUCCACCAUAACACAGAAGAGCUACUAAACUUCCACCAUAACAUAGAAGAGCUACUACUGGACAGAAUGGUUAGGAAAGGAAGUUUUCCUCUCAAAGAAGAAAAGACAUACAAGGAUUUCAGGGAAAAGACGGUUAUCAAAAACAAACCUACUGUGAGGGUACACAGUUCCUUUUCCUGUUGGUAUCAGCUGUGGUGAUAAAUUUAAGAAGAAAGUUUACAAUGCUUGUAAAUCUUUUGAAACAAGUUUUCCAGUUUGUUUGUUUUGAAGGAUUUUUUCCCCUUCAGAAGGGAACAGAUUUGGAACAAGUUACAUUCAUUUUUUUAAUAAAAGUGACAUCAGAAUAAGUCUAGAAAUAACA
rnacentral:lncRNA from 1 species